GGGAGCCUCUGAUCGCGCAAUACAUCUUCAGAUAGCAUCCCAUUAAUAUGAGAAACGCAACGCCAUUGAUCAGCAUGAGAAAGGUCACGUACGCCAACGCCGCGUUUCCAUUGGUCUCGAAUGGUGCAUGGCAUGUGUUAUGGCGUAGUGCCUUUCUAGAGUAAUAACUGCUAACGUAUACACGCUUAACUCAGAACUGAAAACACCUAGAAAGCCGGCUAACUGGCAUCCAGCGGAAGUUUGCCAUGGUAUGGCAUACAUCCGGAAUUCUCCUAGGGUAGAAGCGUCCACCACCGCCAAAAGACCUAAAAUUGUAACAUAUAUAUUUGAAACUAUAAAUUUGAAUCGAAAAAGAAGAUAGCGUAGAAAUAAUAAGCUACACAGAUGGCAUAGUGAAGAGAUACUAUACACAGUGAUGUUAAUCGAACCUAGAUAAAUGCCCAUAAAAAGGUCUGCUGCUGCAAGGUUGCAAACGAGAAAUCGUGGGACAUCCAUCUUGCUCCUGGAGAAUAUUAACACGAACGCUACAGUUCCAUUCCCAAGCAUG